UACAGAGGUCUCAAGCGUUGUUUCGGAUUCAUUGGGCGUAAAGGGUGCGUAGGCGGCGCGGUAAGUCGGGUGUGAAAUCUCGGAGCUUAACUCCGAAACUGCAUUCGAUACUGCCGUGCUUGAGGACUGGAGAGGAGACUGGAAUUUACGGUGUAGCGGUGAAAUGCGCAGAUAUCAGGAGGAACACCAAUGGCGAAGGCAGCUCGCUGGAACGGUACUGGCGCUGAGGCGCGAAAGCGU
rnacentral:rRNA from 1 species